UACGGGGGGGACAAGCGUUGUUCGGAAUUACUGGGCGUAAAGGGCUCGUAGGUGGCCAACUAAGUCAGACGUGAAAUCCCUCGGCUUAACCGGGGAACUGCGUCUGAUACUGGAUGGCUUGAGUUCGGGAGAGGGAUGCGGAAUUCCAGGUGUAGCGGUGAAAUGCGUAGAUAUCUGGAGGAACACCGGUGGCGAAGGCGGCAUCCUGGACCGACACUGACACUGAGGAGCGAAAGCCAGGGGAGCAAACGGG
rnacentral:rRNA from 1 species